UACGUAGGUGACAAGCGUUGUCCGGAUUUACUGGGCGUAAAGAGCGCGCAGGCGGUCGUUCAAGUCGAGUGUGAAAGCCCCCGGCUCAACUGGGGAGGGUCAUUCGAUACUGAUCGACUCGAAGGCAGGAGAGGGUAGUGGAAUUCCCGGUGUAGCGGUGAAAUGCGUAGAUAUCGGAAGGAACACCAGUGGCGAAAGCGGCUUCCUGGUCCAGCACCGACGUUCAGGCACGAAAGCGUGGGGAGCAAACAGG
rnacentral:rRNA from 1 species